GGGGAUGUGAGCGCAGGAGAAUAAAGAGGAAGAGGGAAAAAAAAUUUUUUUGAAGGAAGAAACAGGUAUUGUUUUGGUUGGAGAUCAGUAUCUUUCCUGCUUCCCUUCUCAUCCAAUAGGUGGGGUUGUCUGUUGUUAGCUGGUAACUCUGCCCUCAGGAUGGUGAAAGUAACCAGGGUGUCACUGUGCUGGGGUAGAGGCUGCUGGAGAGAUGGGGGAGUUAGAAACUGGGUACCUGGCCAGCCUGAGUUCCAAACUGGGACUUGCCCUCACUGAAGAUGGUGAUGAAGGUGACCCAAGAUGGAGACACCUGCUUUCAGCAGUGGGGUGUCUGGUCGGGUGUUGGGGAGCCAGGCAAUGGUGUUAGAUGAUGAUCAGAGUCUGUGUGAAGUUCUCGGGUGCAGGCAAGCUACUGCAGAGUCCCAAGGUGGGACUUGGGAGAGCCCCAUGUUGGUAGCUGGGGGUCUAUACAGGAGUGGUGGCCGGAGUUCCUGGGAAGCUGCUGGGUGUCCUGCGUGGGAGCAACAUCAAUGAUUUCUACUUGGUUGGGUGGCUGAAAGUUCUGCACAGGUGCUGAUGCCGAUGGUCCUGCUCAGGUACCCAGUAGUCCUGAGUGGGCAGGUAGUUGGAAGACCCACUCUGACGCUGAGGCCUAGAUUCCUGGGCAGGCAGGUGACUGUGACCUGCGCGGGAGCAAGAAUAACGCUCGCAGAGAAGCAGUGAUUCUCACUACUUGAGUCCUAGGUCACGGAGCGACACAGAAUGCUGCCUCCCUCUGGCCUGCCAUGUUGGAUCUCCUGUGCUUUGAGGUUUUCAUGUUUUGGUAUUUCCUUGUUUUCAACUGUUCCACUUCAAGCUUUUGAACAUCUGAUUCUCUGGUUUUAGUACUUGGACUUUUAACUAAUUUGUAAUUGACAUUGCUCCUAAAAAUGCAAAAAUAUGCUAGUGCUGUAUUUUGUUACUGAAUUCUCAGAUUCAUUCACUCCCAUAUACUGAGAAAGUAUAUGAAUUUCUGAAAAUUAUUUUUGCUUUUUAACCUUAAUUAAAUACUUUAUUAAUACUUAAACAAAUUUUAUCAAUAA
rnacentral:lncRNA from 1 species